rnacentral:rRNA from 1 species
UACGUAGGGCGCAAGCGUUGUCCGGAAUUAUUGGGCGUAAAGAGCUCGUAGGCGGUGUGUCGCGUCGGAUGUGAAAGCCCGGGGCUUAACCCCGGGUCUGCAUUCGAUACGGGCAGACUAGAGUGUGGUAGGGGAGAUCGAAUUCCUGGUGUAGCGGUGAAAUGCGCAGAUAUCAGGAGGAACACCGGUGGCGAAGGCGGAUCUCUGGGCCAUUACUGACGUGAGGAGCGAAAGCGUGGGGAGCGAACAGG